GGGUUGUGAGGUUAAGCGACUAAGCGUACACGGUGGAUGCCCUGGCAGUCAGAGGCGAUGAAGGACGUGCUAAUCUGCGAAAAGCGUCGGUAAGGUGAUAUGAACCGUUAUAACCGGCGAUGUCCGAAUGGGGAAACCCAGUGCAAUUCGUUGCACUAUCGUUAACUGAAUACAUAGGUUAACGAGGCGAACCGGGGGAACUGAAACAUCUAAGUACCCCGAGGAAAAGAAAUCAACCGAGAUUCCCCCAGUAGCGGCGAGCGAACGGGGAGCAGCCCAGAGUCUGAAUCAGCUUGUGUGUUAGUGGAACGGUCUGGAAAGUCCGACGGUACAGGGUGAUAGUCCCGUACACCAAAAUGCACAGGCUGUGAACUCGAAGAGUAGGGCGGGACACGUGGUAUCCUGUCUGAAUAUGGGGGGACCAUCCUCCAAGGCUAAAUACUCCUGACUGACCGAUAGUGAACCAGUACCGUGAGGGAAAGGCGAAAAGAACCCCGGCGAGGGGAGUGAAAAAGAACCUGAAACCGUGUACGUACAAGCAGUGGGAGCACCUUCGGGUGUGACUGCGUACCUUUUGUAUAAUGGGUCAGCGACUUAUAUUCUGUAGCAAGGUUAACCGUAUAGGGGAGCCGCAGGGAAACCGAGUCUUAACUGGGCGUUAAGUUGCAGGGUAUAGACCCGAAACCCGGUGAUCUAGCCAUGGGCAGGUUGAAGGUUGGGUAACACUAACUGGAGGACCGAACCGACUAAUGUUGAAAAAUUAGCGGAUGACUUGUGGCUGGGGGUGAAAGGCCAAUCAAACCGGGAGAUAGCUGGUUCUCCCCGAAAGCUAUUUAGGUAGCGCCUCGUGAACUCAUCUUCGGGGGUAGAGCACUGUUUCGGCUAGGGGGUCAUCCCGACUUACCAACCCGAUGCAAACUACGAAUACCGAAGAAUGUUAUCACGGGAGACACACGGCGGGUGCUAACGUCCGUCGUGAAGAGGGAAACAACCCAGACCGCCAGCUAAGGUCCCAAAGUCAUGGUUAAGUGGGAAACGAUGUGGGAAGGCACAGACAGCCAGGAUGUUGGCUUAGAAGCAGCCAUCAUUUAAAGAAAGCGUAAUAGCUCACUGGUCGAGUCGGCCUGCGCGGAAGAUGUAACGGGGCUAAACCAUGCACCGAAGCUGCGGCAGCGACACUAUGUGUUGUUGGGUAGGGGAGCGUUCUGUAAGCCUGCGAAGGUGACCUGUGAGGGUUGCUGGAGGUAUCAGAAGUGCGAAUGCUGACAUAAGUAACGAUAAAGCGGGUGAAAAGCCCGCUCGCCGGAAGACCAAGGGUUCCUGUCCAACGUUAAUCGGGGCAGGGUGAGUCGACCCCUAAGGCGAGGCCGAAAGGCGUAGUCGAUGGGAAACAGGUUAAUAUUCCUGUACUUGGUGUUACUGCGAAGGGGGGACGGAGAAGGCUAUGUUAGCCGGGCGACGGUUGUCCCGGUUUAAGCAUGUAGGCUGGUUGUCCAGGCAAAUCCGGAUAAUCAAGGCUGAGGUGUGAUGACGAGGUACUACGGUGCUGAAGUAACAAAUGCCCUGCUUCCAGGAAAAGCCUCUAAGCAUCAGGUAACAUUAAAUCGUACCCCAAACCGACACAGGUGGUCAGGUAGAGAAUACCAAGGCGCUUGAGAGAACUCGGGUGAAGGAACUAGGCAAAAUGGUGCCGUAACUUCGGGAGAAGGCACGCUGGUGUGUAGGUGAAGUCCCUGCGGAUGGAGCUGAGACCAGUCGAAGAUACCAGCUGGCUGCAACUGUUUAUUAAAAACACAGCACUGUGCAAACACGAAAGUGGACGUAUACGGUGUGACGCCUGCCCGGUGCCGGAAGGUUAAUUGAUGGGGUUAUCCGUAAGGAGAAGCUCUUGAUCGAAGCCCCGGUAAACGGCGGCCGUAACUAUAACGGUCCUAAGGUAGCGAAAUUCCUUGUCGGGUAAGUUCCGACCUGCACGAAUGGCGUAAUGAUGGCCAGGCUGUCUCCACCCGAGACUCAGUGAAAUUGAACUCGCUGUGAAGAUGCAGUGUACCCGCGGCAAGACGGAAAGACCCCGUGAACCUUUACUAUAGCUUGACACUGAACAUUGAGCCUUGAUGUGUAGGAUAGGUGGGAGGCUUUGAAGCGUGGACGCCAGUCUGCGUGGAGCCAACCUUGAAAUACCACCCUUUAAUGUUUGAUGUUCUAACGUUGGCCCCUGACCGGGGUUGCGGACAGUGUCUGGUGGGUAGUUUGACUGGGGCGGUCUCCUCCCAAAGCGUAACGGAGGAGCACGAAGGUUAGCUAAUCCUGGUCGGACAUCAGGAGGUUAGUGCAAUGGCAUAAGCUAGCUUGACUGCGAGCGUGACGGCGCGAGCAGGUGCGAAAGCAGGUCAUAGUGAUCCGGUGGUUCUGAAUGGAAGGGCCAUCGCUCAACGGAUAAAAGGUACUCCGGGGAUAACAGGCUGAUACCGCCCAAGAGUUCAUAUCGACGGCGGUGUUUGGCACCUCGAUGUCGGCUCAUCACAUCCUGGGGCUGAAGUAGGUCCCAAGGGUAUGGCUGUUCGCCAUUUAAAGUGGUACGCGAGCUGGGUUUAGAACGUCGUGAGACAGUUCGGUCCCUAUCUGCCGUGGGCGCUGGAGAAUUGAGGGGGGCUGCUCCUAGUACGAGAGGACCGGAGUGGACGCAUCACUGGUGUUCGGGUUGUCAUGCCAAUGGCACUGCCCGGUAGCUAAAUGCGGAAGAGAUAAGUGCUGAAAGCAUCUAAGCACGAAACUUGCCCCGAGAUGAGUUCUCCCUGAGACUUUAAGUCUCCUGAAGGAACGUUGAAGACGACGACGUUGAUAGGCCGGGUGUGUAAGCGCAGCGAUGCGUUGAGCUAACCGGUACUAAUGAACCGUGAGGCUUAACCUUACAACGCCGAAG
rnacentral:rRNA from 1 species